rnacentral:lncRNA from 1 species
UCAGAGAGAAAUGAUAACAGGAGGAUUAGCACAGAGCUGGAGAGAAACAGCACAAAUCCGGAAAUUCUGCAUUUGAGCUGGGCUGAUAAACUGUCAUCUUACAGAGCCCACAAGUGCCGACUUCCUUGAGGCAAAGAUAAUCUGAGCCUGUGAGCCUGGUAUUAAUUUAGCAACCAGAGAGAGGAAAAAUUGAAAAGGAUCUGCAGUUGAGGGGAGCUUAAAGCCUUGCCACAGUAGAACCGUACCUGGUCCUGCGUAAAUAGAAAAAGAGAAUUAAAAGGGGCUCUCGUGGGAGGGCUGACAUGACCCAGCCUGGACCAGGCUCACAAACUCCGCGUGGUGUCUGAGGGAUAAAUAGCCCUUCCCUUUUUCACUGUUAGUUUCAGUUAAACAUAAACUCUUCACUUUGGACUUUGUUUGCUUUUGCCAUUUUCAGUAAAUGUCACCCUCUCACCUCUCUGGUCUCCUUUCUGUAACAAAUCCACUCUCCCACCUCCACCACCACAUCCAAACACACCCACAAAAGCACAAAGAGAAAAAACACAGCCUGUUUUAUGGACUGUUGACUGAGGGCGGCAUAUCUGAUUGCAAACAAGAAGAUUGUGGAAAAGAGACACUAGUUGCAGUUGUCACCAUCACCUGCCCUGUGGUCUCAUCCCAGCCAAGCCCCAUGGUGAGCAUCCCACAUUUUCCCUUGUUCCGCAAGAAGUGACCUUUUCCUAAUUAACUUGGUCACAACCUUCUCCUGACUUAUUUUAAUUUGCCUACUUUAAAACACUUGUGUGCUGUGUUUGGCUCUCCCAGCUAUGCUGAUAUUCUGCUGCCUGCUCAUUUACUUACAGAGAUGAAGCACUAGGGAGAGGGAGAUGUGCAUGAUCGUCUGCCCGUGAAUCCUGCAUCCCACCCCAGGGACAGUGACGUGCUUCUGUAUGACAGAAAGAACAAAUGUAAAUACAAUCUGAGUAACUGCCUUUUCUGAACAGGAAGAGUUUGCAGCCAAAAUAGACACUAAGGGCUUUAAGAAGGGGAGAGCACAAUUACAUAAAACCUAAACCACCUUCAGAGUGUAACUUCUCAAGAGGUCUGGCCAUUUUUGGUUCUUUGGUAUUUUUAAGGAUGCUACCAUGUCCAGUCAUAAAGCGUUUUACACAUUGCAAAACCCCUGGACAUUGACUGCAUAACGUGAGGAAGAGCAUACCCAGGCCCUAGUGCGAGCAUGACAGAUAACUGACCUUUUAUAGAACCACUUAGUGGAUACAGCAGACCAGGAGCUGGUGCUCAGUCUGGCUAGAAAAGGAAUGCAGAUGUGAGUAGGAGAGAAAAGACUGUUGGAACCAGACAGCUAAUGUACCUCCACCAACUGGUACAAGAUGAGAGAUAGAUAGAUAGAUAGAUAGAUAGAUAGAUAGAUACAUACAUACAUACAUACAUACAUACAUACAUGCAUAAAUACAUACAUAUACACACAGAUAGAGACAUAGAUACAUCAACAGACAGGGUUUGAAACUUAUGUGUAGUGAUCCAAGCCCUGACGGUGAGCAGUAAUAAUCACAUCUCCAAUUUUCCACACUUAUUUUAGGCUAAUGCUGCUGUUGGGGAUAUCCCCUUCCCACAAUUCUAUUUCUCUCAAGAUUGUUGUUGAUGUCCACUUUAUCUGCAUUUCACCUACACAAAAAUAGGAGCAGUGAGGAGGAGAGUCUUUAACUGUAUUUCCUCAAAGCAUAUUUCCUCUACUCUGUUUUUUUUAAGCUCCAUUGAACAAACACAUCCUUCUUCCAACCUAGAUGUGACUAAAACAUGAGCUUUCAGAUGAACAGGAUAGAAGACAAAAUUCUGCCAGAAGACUAUACCAAGAACUGUGAAGAGUCUGAGAUUUUACUCUACUUUUAAGUGAUCAAGUUCGUUUGGUAGUUUCAGAGAUGCUGGCGGAAGCAGAGAGAAAGGAUGUUAUUGCUCCUGGCCCAGCAAGCAGCAGGAGGAUCGGGUAUUUGCUUCAAUUCCCCUUGUUCUCGAGUCCUGGGGAGCGGAACAUUGUGCAUGGACACAUUUGAUGCCUGCCUGCUUGGUGGAUUGAAUUACAGAAGGGCAACCCUGAGCUUCAGGAGCCCCAAUGUUUUAUUAUAGGAAGUCUUCAGAGGGAGACCUUAUCUUUAUUAUACACGACUGAAAGCGCACCUGCCCUUUGCUUCCAAGGAUAUCUACUCUACAGACAUCCUAGAAAGGACAGUCUAGAAAAAAAGAUAUUUAGUGCCUCUACUUGAAAGAAAUGCAUGAAACUCUAUGGGGACUCAUCCCCACUCAGAUGACGGGGCUCUGUUUCUAUGUUCCUCAUGCCCCCUGCCCCCAUCUUCACUGCCACCACAUUAAGUCCCAUUGUGUCCUGAGUCCUGGGCCCACCCUCUCACCCCACUGAUCACUCUGCACUGUUCCUGCUUGCUCAGUUAUGUGCUUCUCCAGUUUGGCAAUAAACUUCUUGUAGGAUGAGAUUAUGAUUCAUCCUGUUAUCACUGGUCCAGCACGACACUUGACCUUCAAGGAACUCAAUAAAUACUGAAAAAAUGAAUGGCGACAUUUAGAUGGUUCCUAAGGUCAGAGGCUGUGUCGUAUACAUCUUUGUCUCACAAACUAUGUCUCCUAAAAGUGUUUCUCCCUAUAUAACAUAUGUAAUUAUUGUAAUAAAAUUAAGUAAUUAGCAAUAAAUUUCCCAAGCAGCCUAAUGGAGCCCAUUCUUCUGAACCAGGCGACUCAAAUUGAAAAACAAAUUAGCUCUCUUAAAUCAUAGUUGCUCUUCACAGCAAGAUCAUUUUGAAAAGUAAAAUAGCUUCAUUUUUAAUCACUCAUCUUCCCCACAUAUUUUUAUAGUUUCUGUCAUAGAUUAUUUUUCAUGAUAUCUCAGGUUUUUUCUUUUAUCACAAAUAUUUUUUAAUAUAAAACUCAUAGGACCAGUCUUCACUUCAGCAACAAAAUAUGUUCACAUAAAUCUUUCUUGAAACACCCUCUUAUUUUCCCACUUUGUAUGGAGAAAACACUGUAUGGACUGAUUUACUUGCCUUUUAACUCUCCUAUAAGAAAAACAAUGGUGUGGGACAGCCCCUUAGCCUCAGUGAUGGGGAUUUCACAGGGCAGGGUAAGGACACAGGAAGCUCAUGCCUUUCCUCAAGGAUGGUUGUUCCUCAGUCCAGGCCAGUCCUGUUGGGUCUCCUGACAUUGUAAGAAAUGUUUGAAAUCUGGAUUUUUAAGUGAAAGCUUCUCAUUUUAUGUAUUGCCCAUUGACUU